GAGUGAUCGCGGUCUGCUUUUGCAGGCUGAGGAAAGUCCAUGCCCGCACAAGCUGAGAUGCUUGUAGUGUUCGUGCUAAGCCCAAUAAGCUUAGGGGCCGUGUAAACGGCUACGGCGGCCAAACGCGCUAAGGCGUCAGCUAUGCGCUAGUAGGUCUGAAAAGUGCCACAGUGACGAAACGAUCAGGGAAACCUGAGCGGUGGAACGGGUAAACCCCGCGAGCGAGUAACCCAAACUUUUGGUAGGGGCG
rnacentral:RNase_P_RNA from 1 species